rnacentral:rRNA from 1 species
AACGAACGCUGGCGGCGUGCUUAACACAUGCAAGUCGAACGUGAUUGGAAGCUUGCUUCCAUGAAAGUGGCGCACGGGUGAGUAACGCGUGGAUAACCUGCCCUGGUAUCCGGAAUAACAUCUCGAAAGGGGUGCUAAUACCGGAUAAGCCUACGGAGCCUUCGGUCUCUGCAGGAAAAGGUGGCCUCUAUUUAUAAGCUACCGUAUCAGGAUGGGUCCGCGUACCAUUAGCUAGUUGGUGGGGUAAUGGCCUACCAAGGCGACGAUGGUUAGCUGGUCUGAGAGGAUGAUCAGCCACACUGGAACUGAGACACGGUCCAGACUCCUACGGGAGGCAGCAGUGGGGAAUUUUGCGCAAUGGGGGAAACCCUGACGCAGCAACGCCGCGUGAGUGAUGAAGGCUUUCGGGUCGUAAAGCUCUGUCAGAGGGGAAGAAAUGGGUCUGGCUAAUAUCCAGAUUCCUUGACGGUACCCUCAAAGGAAGCACCGGCUAACUCCGUGCCAGCAGCCGCGGUAAUACAGA